rnacentral:rRNA from 1 species
UCCUACGGGGGGCAGCAGUGGGGAAUUUUGGACAAUGGGCGCAAGCCUGAUCCAGCUAUUCCGCGUGUGGGAUGAAGGCCCUCGGGUUGUAAACCACUUUUGUAGAGAACGAAAAGACACCUUCGAAUAAAGGGUGUUGCUGACGGUACUCUAAGAAUAAGCACCGGCUAACUACGUGCCAGCAGCCGCGGUAAUACGUAGGGGGCAAGCGUUAUCCGGAUUCACUGGGCGUAAAGGGAGCGCAGGCGGCACGGCAAGCCUGGUGUGAAAACCCGGGGCCCAAC